rnacentral:rRNA from 1 species
GCACAACGCGAAGAACCUUACCCACCUUUGACAUGUACGGAAUCCUUUAGAGAUAGAGGAGUGCUCGAAAGAGAGCCGUAACACAGGUGCUGCAUGGCUGUCGUCAGCUCGUGUCGUGAGAUGUUGGGUUAAGUCCCGCAACGAGCGCAACCCUUGCCAUUAGUUGCUACAUUUAGUUGAGCACUCUAAUGGGACUGCCGGUGACAAACCGGAGGAAGGUGGGGAUGACGUCAAGUCCUCAUGGCCCUUAUAGGUGGGGCUACACACGUCAUACAAUGGCUGGUACAAAGGGUUGCCAACCCGCGAGGGGGAGCUAAUCCCAUAAAGCCAGUCGUAGUCCGGAUCGCAGUCUGCAACUCGACUGCGUGAAGCCGGAAUCGCUAGUAAUCGUGGAUCAGAAUGUCACGGUGAAUACGUUCCCGGGUCUUGUACACACCG